UACGGAGGAUGCGAGCGUUAUCCGGAUUUAUUGGGUUUAAAGGGUGCGUAGGCGGAUCGUUAAGUCAGUGGUCAAAUUGAGGGGCUCAACCCCUUCCCGCCAUUGAAACUGGCGUUCUUGAGUGGGCGAGAAGUAUGCGGAAUGCGUGGUGUAGCGGUGAAAUGCAUAGAUAUCACGCAGAACUCCGAUUGCGAAGGCAGCAUACCGGCGCCCAACUGACGCUGAAGCACGAAAGCGUGGGUAUCGAACAGG
rnacentral:rRNA from 1 species